CCUACCUGGUAUAAAAUGAGAGGCCAUCAUUAGGGGCCCACAUGACAAGGAACUUGGAGUGACCUCCAUGAGACCACCAGCAAAAAGUUAGGGUAUGCAGUUAUACACUUGCAAAGAAAUGGGUUCUGCAACAACCAGAGUAAGCAGAGAAACAAUUCUUCCCCAGUAGAGCCUCCAGAUGAGAAUGCAGAUUGGUUGACAUCUUGAUAGCUGUCUUCUGAGGCUUUAAGUAGAGGACUUCAGUAAGCCAUAUCCAGAAUCCUGACAUACAGAAAAUCGUGAUGCUGAGGUAUUCCCUGUAUCUUCUUUGAACAAUGGGAUGGAAUGGCAUACAGCAGAAAUAAUGCUCUUAGUUUCUGCCUUGGACCAGAAGCUCUCUCUUCCUGUUACUUGGAGCCCUGUGUCUCCCUGUGAGUAGCCCAACUACCUUCCUGCAGAGAUAUCAUGAAUCUUGGGGAGCACACAGAAAGGAAGACAGCCCCCAGAAAUAGUUACUUGCUGAUUGCUGAACUGAGGGUCUCCGUUCCUCCUGAACUUGUGGCACAAUGUUUUCCUCGAUUUUUCACCAAAUGGACAUCUUCCAAAUCAGGCAGCUCACAUUGGCUUCAUUGGAGCAGCAAGUGAGUGGGCAAGAAAGAGUUCAAGAAAGAUGGUUCCAAAUAUAUGCAAGUCUUAGUCACCUGUAACCUAAUAUCAGUAGUGUCAUCCCAUCACCUUUACUGUGUUCUAGUCAUUAGAACCAAACUACUAGUUCCAGCCCACACUCAAGGGUAUGGAAUUACACAAGGGAAAGAAUACCAGGACGUAAAGAUCAUUCAUGACAAUUUUAGCAGUCUGUCUGCUACAAAUCCUUAGCUUUCCAGAAGUAUACAAAAGAAUUUUAGCCCCUCUUCGGUCAUGGAGUUAUCUAUCAAGAUUGAGUUACUCAAAUAACCUGGUAUAUUCUAUGAUUUCUCAUAUUAAACAUUCAAUUUAAUGUCAAUAAUCAA